AAAAGCACCCCGGAAGGGGAGUGAAAUAGAACCUGAAACCGUGUGCUUACAAGUAGUCAGAGCCCGUUAAUGGGUGAUGGCGUGCCUUUUGUAGAAUGAACCGGCGAGUUACGAUUUGAUGCAAGGUUAAGCAGUAAAUGUGGAGCCGUAGCGAAAGCGAGUCUGAAUAGGGCGUUUAGUAUUUGGUCGUAGACCCGAAACCAGGUGAUCUACCCUUGGUCAGGUUGAAGUUCAGGUAACACUGAAUGGAGGACCGAACCGACUUACGUUGAAAAGUGAGCGGAUGAACUGAGGGUAGCGGAGAAAUUCCAAUCGAACCUGGAGAUAGCUGGUUCUCUCCGAAAUAGCUUUAGGGCUAGCCUCAAGUGAUGAUUAUUGGAGGUAGAGCACUGUUUGGACGAGGGGCCCCUCUCGGGUUACCGAAUUCAGACAAACUCCGAAUGCCAAUUAAUUUAACUUGGGAGUCAGAACAUGGGUGAUAAGGUCCGUGUUCGAAAGGGAAACAGCCCAGACCACCAGCUAAGGUCCCAAAAUAUAUGUUAAGUGGAAAAGGAUGUGGCGUUGCCCAGACAACUAGGAUGUUGGCUUAGAAGCAGCCAUCAUUUAAAGAGUGCGUAAUAGCUCACUAGUCGAGUGACACUGCGCCGAAAAUGUACCGGGGCUAAACAUAUUACCGAAGCUGUGGAUUGUCCUUUGGACAAUGGUAGGAGAGCGUUCUAAGGGCGUUGAAGCAUGAUCGUAAGGACAUGUGGAGCGCUUAGAAGUGAGAAUGCCGGUGUGAGUAGCGAAAGACGGGUGAGAAUCCCGUCCACCGAUUGACUAAGGUUUCCAGAGGAAGGCUCGUCCGCUCUGGGUUAGUCGGGUCCUAAGCUGAGGCCGACAGGCGUAGGCGAUGGAUAACAGGUUGAUAUUCCUGUACCACCUAUAAUCGUUUUAAUCGAUGGGGGGACGCAGUAGGAUAGGCGAAGCGUGCGAUUGGAUUGCACGUCUAAGCAGUAAGGCUGAGUAUUAGGCAAAUCCGGUACUCGUUAAGGCUGAGCUGUGAUGGGGAGAAGACAUUGAGUCUUCGAGUCGUUGAUUUCACACUGCCGAGAAAAGCCUCUAGAUAGAAAAUAGGUGCCCGUACCGCAAACCGACACAGGUAGUCAAGAUGAGAAUUCUAAGGUGAGCGAGCGAACUCUCGUUAAGGAACUCGGCAAAAUGACCCCGUAACUUCGGGAGAAGGGGUGCUCUUUAGGGUUAACGCCCAGAAGAGCCGCAGUGAAUAGGCCCAAGCGACUGUUUAUCAAAAACACAGGUCUCUGCUAAACCGUAAGGUGAUGUAUAGGGGCUGACGCCUGCCCGGUGCUGGAAGGUUAAGAGGAGUGGUUAGCUUCUGCGAAGCUACGAAUCGAAGCCCCAGUAAACGGCGGCCGUAACUAUAACGGUCCUAAGGUAGCGAAAUUCCUUGUCGGGUAAGUUCCGACCCGCACGAAAGGCGUAACGAUUUGGGCACUGUCUCAACGAGAGACUCGGUGAAAUCAUAGUACCUGUGAAGAUGCAGGUUACCCGCGACAGGACGGAAAGACCCCGUGGAGCUUUACUGUAGCCUGAUAUUGAAAUUCGGCACAGCUUGUACAGGAUAGGUAGGAGCCUUUGAAACGUGAGCGCUAGCUUACGUGGAGGCGCUGGUGGGAUACUACCCUAGCUGUGUUGGCUUUCUAACCCGCACCACUUAUCGUGGUGGGAGACAGUGUCAAGCGGGCAGUUUGACUGGGGCGGUCGCCUCCUAAAAGGUAACGGAGGCGCUCAAAGGUUCCCUCAGAAUGGUUGGAAAUCAUUCAUAGAGUGUAAAGGCAUAAGGGAGCUUGACUGCGAGACCUACAAGUCGAGCAGGGUCGAAAGACGGACUUAGUGAUCCGGUGGUUCCGCAUGGAAGGGCCAUCGCUCAACGGAUAAAAGCUACCCCGGGGAUAACAGGCUUAUCUCCCCCAAGAGUUCACAUCGACGGGGAGGUUUGGCACCUCGAUGUCGGCUCAUCGCAUCCUGGGGCUGUAGUCGGUCCCAAGGGUUGGGCUGUUCGCCCAUUAAAGCGGUACGCGAGCUGGGUUCAGAACGUCGUGAGACAGUUCGGUCCCUAUCCGUCGUGGGCGUAGGAAAUUUGAGAGGAGCUGUCCUUAGUACGAGAGGACCGGGAUGGACAUACCUCUGGUGUACCAGUUGUCGUGCCAACGGCAUAGCUGGGUAGCUAUGUGUGGACGGGAUAAGUGCUGAAAGCAUCUAAGCAUGAAGCCCCCCUCAAGAUGAGAUUUCCCAACUUCGGUUAUAAGAUCCCUCAAAGAUGAUGAGGUUAAUAGGUUCGAGGUGGAAGCAUGGUGACAUGUGGAGCUGACGAAUACUAAUCGAUCGAAGACUUAAUCAA
rnacentral:rRNA from 1 species